GUCUACGGCCAUACCACCCUGAACGCGCCCGAUCUCGGAAGCUAAGCAAGGUCGGGCCUGGUUAGUACUUGGAUGGGAGAAAUGUGGUAAGAGAUU
rnacentral:rRNA from 1 species